rnacentral:lncRNA from 1 species
AGUAGAGUUACGUCUCCGGUCUAUCCGGUUUGACGAUAGCUGACUUCUUCAUGUGUUUGAGUCACGGUCCAACAUAUUCAAAAUUUAAUACUAUAUUUUAGGUGAAGAACCCUACAGAGGCGAUAUAUUUUCUUAAAAUACCCAAAGUAUGCCCUCUUGUCGUGCGUCGUGGAUUACAGGAAUCGUUCUUAAGCUGAGGGGAUGCCACUUUUUUCAUUUCCAAGAGACAAAUUCCUUGGAAGGCAAUGGGUCCUAAAAAUGAAAUGAAAUCUUUUGAUAUUUUUCCUGACGUAUAACAUCUAAAGGAAAUAAAUACCAACAUACAAAUCCAACUUGGAGUCUAUGAAGCAGAAAUAAAGGAAUUAAAGAAGAAGUUGAAUGGGAAAGAUGUCAAAAUUUGGGACGCAAAAUCAAAGUUUAAGUCUUUAAAAAUGCGCAUCUAUUCGGUAUUUAAUUCAAACCGUUUAAAAAAUUUAAGUUGCAAGUCUUCACAUUCCAAAAUCCGCCUUUGGUCUAAUAAAACCAUUGAGAAUUCACUUCAGUUAAGAUUCGUUGAGGAAUUAUAUGUUGUCUAAUUAAUCUAUUGCGCCAAGAACUGUUUGGAUCAAUUUGCAAAAAUAGAUGCUUUCUUCAAAUCUUAUCUAAAUGAAUUCAAAAAAAAUUUACUGAAUAACUGAAAUAGCGGUUCCAUUAAUUAAGUCAUCUAUAAAUGUCGCCAAAUUUCAUAAAAUUUUAUUUUUUAAUGUGUCUAAGUAUGUUAGUAUAAGAAUGCUCACACAUCUACGAAUGCAAACUGCGAUUAUCAAAGAAAAUAGAAUAGCUUCUUCUAUUUUCGGAAGACAAAGAAUCUGUAUGCAAAAUUAAGGAUCCCCGAAACACUUAUAAACUUCCGCGCGCGCCUUCUGCAAGAUAUUCCCUCUCCGUAAAUUGGGAUUAUGUAACGUACCUACCUUAUGAUUACAAAUAAAUUACAAAAAUUUAUCCCAAGAAAUAAAGACAAGAA